rnacentral:rRNA from 1 species
UACGUAGGGUCCGAGCGUUGUCCGGAGUUACUGGGCGUAAAGGGCGCGCAGGCGGCGGUGCUGGCCCGGCGUGAAAGCCCCCGGCUCAACCGGGGAGGGUCGUCGGGGACCGCACCGCUUGAGGGCGGUAGGGGCCGGUGGAAUGCCCGGUGUAGUGGUGAAAUGCGUAGAGAUCAGGCAGAACACCUGGGGCGAAGGCGGCCGGCUGGGCCGUCCCUGACGCUGAGGCGCGAAGGCGUGGGGAGCGAACGGG